rnacentral:rRNA from 1 species
CGUGUAGGCGGUGCGGUAAGUUGGACGUGAAAUCCCCGGGCUCAACCCGGGGCGGUCGUUCAAAACUGCCGUGCUAGAGUGUGGGAGAGGGAAGUGGAAUUCCCGGUGUAGCGGUGAAAUGCGUAGAUAUCGGGAAGAACACCUGUGGCGAAGGCGGCUUCCUGGCCCACAACUGACGCUGAGGCGCGAAAGCUAGGGGAGCAAACA